UACGGGGGGGGCAAGCGUUGUUCGGAAUUACUGGGCGUAAAGGGUUCGUAGGUGGUCAACUAAGUCAUACGUGAAAUCCCUCAGCUUAACUGGGGAACUGCGUCUGAUACUGGUUGACUUGAGUGCAGGAGAGGAACGCGGAAUUCCAGGUGUAGCGGUGAAAUGCGUAGAUAUCUGGAGGAACACCGGUGGCGAAGGCGGCGUUCUGGACUGUAACUGACACUGAGGAACGAAAGCCAGGGGAGCAAACGGG
rnacentral:rRNA from 1 species